ACUCUAGAGGUGAAGGCAGUAAGAUUAGAUGUUGUCUCAUUGCUGUGAACAGACACCAUGACCAAAGCAACUCUUAAAAAGAUAGUUAAUUGGGGCUAGCUUACAGUUUCAGAGGUUCAGUUCAUUAUCGUCAUGGUGGAAAUGUUGGCAGUAUCCAGGUAGUAGACAUGGUGCUGGAGAAGGAGCUGAGAGUUCUACAUGUUAAUCUGAAGGCAGCUAGAAGGAGGCUCUCUUAUGUGGGCCUCCAGGAGGAGACUGGAAUUCUACAAUGGGUAGAGCUUAAACCUAGGAGACAUCUAAGCCCACCUUCACAUUUACAAACCCCUUCCUACAAGGAAACACCUACUCCAACAAGGUUACACCUCCUAGUAGUGCUAUUAUCUGUGGGCUAAGCAUUCACACACUGAAGUCUAUGUGGGCCAAACCUAUUCAAACCACCCAAGGUGUCAAGGGCAAUCUCAAUUACAUAGGAAUUUAAGGCUACCAUGUAUUAUGUGAUGGUUUGCAUAUGCUUGGCCCAGGGAGUUGAACUAUUGGGAGGUGUGGACCUGUUAGAAUAGGUGUGUCCUUGUUGAAGUGGGUGUAUCACUGUAGACAUAGACUUUAAUACCCUCUUUCUAGUUACCUAGAAGCCAGUAUCUAUUAGCAGCCUUCAGAUAAAAAUGUAGAAAGCUCAUUUCCUCCUGCACCACAACUGUCUUGAUGCUGUCAUGCUCCUAUCUUGAUAAUGGACUGAACCUCUGAACCUGUAAGCCAGCCGCAAUUAUAUGUUGUCUAUAUAAGAGUUUUCUUGGUCAUGUGUUUGUUUUGUUUUGAUUUGUUGUGUUUUGUUUUACAGCUGUAAAACCCUUACUCUAAAACUGUUUCAAACUCAUGAUCUACUACAUGUAAAGAAUGUAGAAGAUUGCCGGACUAGACCAUUGAAAUGGUUCAGUGGGCAAAGAUGACCUGAGUUCAAACCCUAGGAUAUACAUGGUGAAGGGAGAGUACUGACUCCCAAAGGCUGUCCUCAGAGUGCCACACAUGUGCUGUGGCAUGCACACACACACACAAAUGUUAAAUUUCAUUUACAAAAAGAUAUAAAAGGUGUAGGUUUUAUUGUUUUUUGUUUGUUUGUUUGUUUGCAUCUACUCCAUUCUUCUCUCCACUGUAGCUUUGCCCUCAAGGCCUCCAUGCUGCCCAGGCCACCUGUCUCCAAAACCCUCUGGCUUCUACUACCAUGACAGAUGGCACUCAACAUUCUGUUCUAGUCGCUCUUUCCCCACUGUGGACAGCAUCCUGAACUGCCUGGCUGACCGCAUUGUCUACAUGUUAGGGGAUUCCACACUUCAGCAGUGGUGGGAGUAUCUGCGAGACACAGUGCCCUGUGAGUGACCAUGAUGGGAGAGGAGGGCCUGUGAGGACUCCUGAUGGAGAAGCCUGAUAAUGAUUGCAUUGAGGGAGACUCCCUCUAUUAGUAGAAACAUGGUGCAGGCUACUGGGUCUUUCUGAAGGGCCAUGAGUGAAAGAGUGGGGUGUUUGCUUUGUUUUAUGUUAGAGGCAUUUUCUCAAUUCAGGUUGACCUUCCCAGACAACUCUAGAUUGUGACAAGUUGGCAAAGAACAAACCAGGACACCAUUCCCCUGUGCAGCACUAACAUUACAAGUAUACACGACCACACCCAGCUUUUUAACAUCGGUUCUUGAGGCUCUAACUCAGGUCCUUAUGUUUGUACUGUAAACAGGUUACCAAUGAGUACCUCUUCAGUCUGAGUCUCAAGUUGCGUUAGAGUUGAUCUUUAUAGUGAACUACAGGCCAACAAGGGCUACAUAGCGAGACCGUCC
rnacentral:lncRNA from 1 species